AUGUUUCUCCUAGACAGGUUUGAUCAAUGAAGUUUCUAGGCUGUAGCUGACCCAUUCCUUCAUGUGAAGAAUACUUUCAAAAGCACAAAACGCCCCGAGGCGAUAGAGUCCUUAGACCAUGUGUAGUGGGGCGUUUUUUUUUUUUUAAAUUAAAAAAAAAACGCCGAAUCAGUAAUCACGUCCAUCUCCCAUUACGGCCCGGCGUUAUCGGGCGUUUUUUUUUGAAAAAAUUCGAUUGGCGUUUUUCAAAUCACGCCAAAAGGGCAAAUUUUUUGGCCAAUCAGAUGGAGAUAGCUGGAAUUUGUGCCGGAAUGGGACGAAUUUGAGUCGGAAUGGUUUUGUGGUUAGCCGGAAUUGUUGCCGGAAAAGCUGGAAUGCAGGAAACGAAGAAGAAGAUGGAAUGCAGGAAAAGGUUUUAAAAGUUUAGUUUUGACAACUUUGGUCCCUGUGGUUUAGAUAUGGUUUUAAAUUUAACUUUUGAACUUUUGAAUUUUGGUCCUUGUGGUUUAGAUAUGUAAUGUUUUCUAUUUAACUUUUGAAUUCUUUUUAAGAAUGUAAUGUUUUUUUAUUUAAAUGAAAUUUUAUUAGUUUUAAUUAAA
rnacentral:lncRNA from 1 species